UCACCUUGGCCUCUCUAUUUUCUUUCUUCUUUUUUUUUUACUAUUUUUUUAGACUCAAAGCACCCUUUGUGGGUUUUCACCUUUGUCUUUUUUCUUUUUUUUUUGAGUGAAUUUUGAACUCAUAGGAUUAGGCAAGUCCUUAUUAUCCCUUUUGAUCAGAACUAAUGUUUUUCUCGAUAAAGUCUCCCACAUAAAAUCAUCCACUUUUAUCUUGUAUGCGAAAAAUCUUCUUUGGUACCAGAUUUCUUUCAUAGAGCCUUUUAGGGUGAAAUUUAACUAUGAC
rnacentral:lncRNA from 1 species